GGACUCCUACGGGAGGCAGCAGUAGGGAAUCUUCCACAAUGGGCGAAAGCCUGAUGGAGCAACGCCGCGUGGGUGAAGAAGGUCUUCGGAUCGUAAACCCCUGUUGUUAGAGAAGAAAGUGCGUGAGAGUAACUGUUCACGUUUCGACGGUAUCUAACCAGAAAGCCACGGCUAACUACGUGCCAGCAGCCGCGGUAAUACGUAUGUGGCACGCGUUAUCCGGUUUUAUUGGGCG
rnacentral:rRNA from 1 species